rnacentral:rRNA from 1 species
GUCUAUGGCCAUGCCACCCUGAACAAGCCCAAUCCCGUCUGAUCUCAGAAGCUAAGCAGGGUCAGGCCUGGUUAGUACUUGGAUGGGAGACUACCUAGGAAGACUAGGUGCUGUAGGCA